CGACUUCGUGUUUCGGCAGUACACCAAAUUAUCCGCUCGACCCGUCCGAAAGAUACCGAAAUGGCAGCUAAGGUAAGACAAUCGCAAUUUUAACAUUAUGUUUCCCGUGAAAACGUGAAAACGCGAACACGAUUUCAAAAACGAUUACACGGCAAUGAUACCAACCACGUUUUUCCGCAGAUGAUCAUUCUCGCCGCGUGCGUGUCCGCCGCCCUCGCCCAAUACGCCGCCCCGGCCUACGAACCCGCGUACCCGGCUUACCCGGCGCCCAAGGCCUACGCCGCCGAGCCCACUUACGCCCCGGCCCCGUACAGCUUCGAG